UUUCUCUUUGCACAUGAUCAAGUUGUCAUCUGGUUUACACAUUGGUGUGUAAAUAAGAAAUGUGGCUAAUGAGAUGAUACCACACUCAGUGUGCUGAGAAAGCCAGGUUUCCAUGUUUGCAAUGAUCUGAGUGCAAUCACUCAACCUUCAUUGUGUCACAGAAAUCUCCUUUGAAGACGGCUUCCAGUCAUUUCUUCUGGUGGGGGCACAACCAGUGACUGAGAGAAGACAUCCAGAAUUACUACGGAGAUGAGACUGAAUCGGGGCUGAGUGGCCAUUUGUCAUGCUCCCGGACCUCCUGAAUACACAGAGACCCUAGCAACUUCAGGCUUAUGGAGGUAGAGCUGGGGCUCAGAGAGGCGAAAGGACUGUCAGAUCACCCCUCUAUGGAGACCAGAUGACUGGGAUUUUAAUAAGGUCCCUCUAGGAGAAAGCCCUUCAAAAUACCUCCUGAAUCCAGACUAUAACCUGCC
ensembl:lncRNA